AAUGAACGCUGGCGGCAGGCCUAACACAUGCAAGUCGAACGAGUAGAGGACGGGUGCGUAAUGUCUGGGAAACUGCCUGAUGGCGGGGGAUAAAUACUGGAAACGGUAGCUAAUACCGCAUACCAUCAGCUGUGCCCAGAUGGGCUUCGCUGGUUGGUGGGGUAACGGCUCACCAAGGCGACGAUCCCUAGCUGGUCUGAGAGGAUGACGAGCCACACUGGAACUGAGACACGGUCCAAACCCCUACGGGAGGAAGCAGGGGGGAAUAGUGCACAAUGGGCGCAAGCCUGAUGCAGCCAGGCCGCGUGUAUGAAGAAGGCCUUCGGGUUGUAAAGUACGUUCAGCGGGGAGGCGUUACCCGCAGAAGAAGCACCGGCUAACUCCGUGCCAGCAGCCGCGGUAAUAC
rnacentral:rRNA from 1 species